CCUACGGGGGGCAGCAGUGGGGAAUAUUGCCCAAUGGACGAAAGUCUGAGGCAGCAACGCCGCGUGCGCGAUGAAGGCCUUCGGGUUGUAAAGCGCUUUUCUGGGGGAAGAGGAAGGACGGUACCCCAGGAAUAAGUCUCGGCUAACUACGUGCCAGCAGCCGCGGUGG
rnacentral:rRNA from 1 species